GGUCCCCAGAUACUGUUGAACUACAACUCCCAUCCCCCCUAGCUAGCAAGGCCAAAGCUCAGGCAUGAUAGGAGUUGUAGUCCAACAAGAUCUGGGGACACACA